rnacentral:lncRNA from 1 species
UGGAACACACAUGGUAAGGGAAACUGUGAGGGCACAUGUGAUGUGACCUUCAUCACCAUCCGGAUCUUGGGGUGGGCAAAUGUUAUAUGUCUUCAUUGUUGACUACCUUCAGCAGGGUCAUGCUGAUGUUAUAGGAGAAGGCAUGGAACUCCACUGCCAUCAACUUGCAUUAGUGCAGAUAACUUGGCGGCCAGUUCCAUAGGGAGAUUCACGAAGGAGGGCAGUUGGAGCCUUGAAGUAAAACAACAAGCUAGCAGGGGUGAUAUUCGAGGACUCCUCUUUGUUGGAAACACCGUGAGUUGUAACAGGGAGAAAAGGGAGAAAAGAAAUUAAGAGGAAAAAAGAGGGCACAACAUGAGCCCUUCGCUAAAAGUUCGUGCGUGUGCGUUCGUAUGAUUUUGAUGUGGUCGUUCGUGUGGACGAAUUUCAACACUCUUGGACGCUUGGUAUCCUUGGCUCUGUGCGCAAGGACGUUGACUAGGAUGUAUUGAUACACGGCUACACGAGAAAGAUUGGUGAAGCAAUCUUAUUUGCAGAAAACGUAGAUCUUGUCUUAUAUGUGUUAUUUUCUUAUAUUAUGCAACCAUCAUCAAGUAUAUCCAGAUUUAAAUGGGAAAAGUAUAUCAUGGUUGUUGGAGGACAAGGAUGAUAUUUUCCCUAAAAGCAAAAUUAUAGCCGAAUCUUUUUUUUUUGCAGGGGGAGGAUAACUGAAUCUAUAUAUUCAUGCAUGUCGACAAAAAAGAUGCCCUUAGAAAAGGACUUGAAUCUUCUUUGCUUCUGCUUACAAUUAUUAGAGGUUCUUAACUAAUUACAAUCUGGCAAUGCACAUAGUUUCAGAUCCUUACCACAGGAGACAUGUCACUUCUUACAAGAUAGUAAAAACAAUGCUUGCAGAAAGUUUGAAAUGUUAUUGUCCGCCAAUGUAUUGUUGUAUGGAAAAUUGCUGAACUUUUCUAUUCCGCAUCUUCAGUUUGCAUAGUCAAGUUUGUAUUAUUUGUGAUAUACACAUGCUUAUGCAUAUUCAAUUUUUUCAGUCAA